UACAGAGGUGGCAAGCGUUGUUCGGAAUUACUGGGCGUAAAGGGCGCGUAGGCGGCCUACUAAGUCAGACGUGAAAUCCCCCGGCUUAACCUGGGAACUGCGUCUGAUACUGGAAGGCUUGAGUAUGGGAGAGGGAUGUAGAAUUCCAGGUGUAGCGGUGAAAUGCGUAGAUAUCUGGAGGAACACCGGUGGCGAAGGCGGCAUCCUGGACCGACACUGACACUGAGGAGCGAAAGCGUGGGGAGCAAACAGG
rnacentral:rRNA from 1 species